rnacentral:rRNA from 1 species
GACGAACGCUGGCGGCGUGCUUAACACAUGCAAGUCGUACGGUAAGGCCCUUUCGGCGGUACACGAGUGGCGAACGGGUGAGUAACACGUGAGUAACCUGCCCACAACUUUGGGAUAACGCUAGGAAACUGGUGCUAAUACUGGAUAUGUGCUCCUGCUGCAUGGUGGGGGUUGGAAAGCUCCGGCGGUUGUGGAUGGACUCGCGGCCUAUCAGCUUGUUGGUGGGGUAGUGGCCUACCAAGGCGGCGACGGGUAGCCGGCCUGAGAGGGUGACCGGCCACAUUGGGACUGAGAUACGGCCCAGACUCCUACGGGAGGCAGCAGUGGGGAAUAUUGCACAAUGGGCGCAAGCCUGAUGCAGCAACGCCGCGUGCGGGAUGACGGCCUUCGGGUUGUAAACCGCUUUCAGCAGGGACGAAGCUUUUUGUGACGGUACCUGCAGAAGAAGCACCGGCUAACUACGUG